UUGUCUGCGAGCCAGAUGUGACCAUCAAAAGAGCCAGAUAUGGCUCGCGAGCCAUGGGUUCCUGACCCCUAAUGUAACAGAAAUGUAAUACUCAUUGAUUACAGUUUCUCUUUCUCUCUCUCUCUCUUUCAUCCUAAUAAUACUGCUGUUUUGCAGUCCACAUGUUAUUUCUGAGUAUUUCUUCAUUCAAAGCUUUGUAAAUCAAAAGUAGAUCAAAAACUGCCUUUAGAAAAAGAUAAUAUUUGUGACAUAUCCAUAGAAAUCCAUUCUGAUGCAUCCACUUAGAGAUGACUAGAUUCGUGCACAUCUGCAUUUUGCUCGUCUGAGCUGGAAUCUGGAUCAACACUGUAAAGCUGGGCAGCUCAGAUAUAUCUUCCACUUUUGUUGCACUAGUAACGUUAGGUUGGGAUCUGAGGGGUUGUAAGCUAGAGGGAGAGAAUGUAAACAGAGAGCUCUCGGCAACAGGGUGGGGAAGAGUGGCAGAAACUAUGUCCUAGAAAGCGACGCAGGUGUUUUAUUUUGACUUAAUUUUGCAUAAUUACAAUUAAAAGACCACUGAGAUUGAUUUAAAAUGGAACAUUGAAAGGUGACAAAUUAGCUUAAUGUUUAAUGAAGAAAAUUACAUAGAAAAUAAAACAGCGGAUUCUCCGUUUAAUCUUUUUUAUUAUACACUUCUAUCACUUUCUAUAACUUCAGCAGCCACUGAAACAGCUGCAAAGUUUGCAUCAAACUCUUCGGUCGCUAUUCUUAGAUAUCUGUCAUGGUGCCUCUGUCAGACUCCACCCCCUCUCCUCUCUGCUUGGUUCCCUGAUUCAGCCCAGCUGCCACCACUCAACUCAUCACCACCUACCUACUUAAGGAGCUCCUGGACCUGUAUUCAUCGCCAGUCCGUUGCCCCUGAUGGAAACCCCAAACCACGGGUGGUCGCCUGAAUCCGUCGCUAUCUGGAACCCUCACUCAGUCUGCUUCACCGGUCUCACCACGAGCCUCUGCCGAUCAUCCAACUCCACAGGUCUCCGCCGACGCUGCCCUACGAAGGGAUCCACCAGUGACGCCACAAAAUCCAGUCUCUCGUUGGGACCACACAGAAACUGCUCACUCCUUAACUGUGCUGGCAAUUAAAUCUUCUUACUCACCUCA